rnacentral:rRNA from 1 species
GACAGAGGGUGCAAACGUUGUUCGGAUUUACUGGGCGUAAAGGGCGGGUAGGCGGCCACCGCAAGUCGACUGUGAAAUCUCCGGGCUUAACCCGGAAAGGUCAGCCGAUACUGCGGGGCUAGAGUGCAGAAGGGGCAACUGGAAUUCUCGGUGUAGCGGUGAAAUGCGUAGAUAUCGAGAGGAACACCUGCGGCGAAGGCGGGUUGCUGGGCUGACACUGACGCUGAACUGCGAAAGCUAGGGGAGCGAACGGG